UCUGACAUUCUUGGGUGGGUGAGUGGACCAUGUCACAGCCAUAUCUCUGUAGGUCUCCCAGCAGAACCCCGCUCCAGAGUGGAUAAAUGGCCAUAUAAUUGUCCAGAAGAAAACUGAUCAUUUCCGGGCAGUAAUAUGGAUUUGCUUGAUUUGAAUCAUUUUCACCCUCCACAACAGCACUGACUUCAUCACAAAUGUUUCUGAACAUUUUGGAGUAUGAGGAAUCACCAACAAUUGUUGCAGAUGUACUGUCACUCACCUCCACCUUUUCUAGGACCUCACCUGUGGUAUCCUGCAGAAUGCCACCUUCUUUGUAAAUUAGGGCUUCUAAAAAACAAAGACUUUCUUUCACAGUUUCAGUGAAAUGCCUUGCAGUAAAAACUGUGCAGAAUGAUUUAAAAAUUCUCAGAGCAUCAUCAAGGCUAUCUGUGUUUUGUAGUCUUGCAAAAACGUAAGUGGCAAAGUUUUUAAGACCUUUAUCGGAUGACCUCUUUUGGAAGGCUAAAGUCACGGCUUUGAUAAUAUGGGCAGAACACAAAUGUAAAACCGUUGUGUGUUUAAUUUCUGCCCAUGUUUUCUGCUUCUGACAGAUGGCAAAUGUUCUCUCAAGGUAAGCGGUGAUGCUUUCCUUGCUGAAAGCAAGGAGAACAGCCUGCAUUAUUGCCCAGCUAAAGUCUGUUUCCACUUGAUGUAUGUGCUGAUUUGUUUAUUUAGAAAGUUUGAGGAGGAACUGCAUUAACCAGUAUGUUAUUGGCGGUACAGAAUGUUCACUGGAUAUCAUUUCGGAAACUGGCAGCGGCGGAGCAUCUCUUCCUUUUCCCGGUAAGGUGUGCUCCAAACGGGUCUAUCUGUAAGUGUUGCACAUAACCAGGAGCAAAGUAUGAGCCAGUAUCACACUGUUUGAUGAUAGACUGGGAUGUUCUUAUUCAGACUGUGGCUGAUGUUUCCCGCUAAAAGUUCUUG